GUUCUUCGAAGAUCACAAGCCAUGGAUAUUUCUCUACAAUCGGUCGUCCUUUACCAAGGCAAAUGGACUGCGGAUUGUGACACAAUCCUCGUCGAUACUUUGGUGAGCAAGCAGAGUGAAAUGCAAUGCAUCAACCCGCUCUUCCCCCGAUGGAGUGUAUUGCGUAGUGUGGCCUCGGAAAUCCGGAGCAUCGCCGGAGUCAAAUUUUCUGCGGCUGAAGUGGAUGGACGUGUUGAUGUGCUCCAUACACGCUACAAAACAUUCAAGAAGGUCGUCAACUUCUCGGGCGCGAGAUGGGAUCAGCCAACCAAGUCUGUGAUUGCUUCUGACGAAGUGUGGGUUCAAAUCUUGGAGAAAUAUGAAUUGGCCAAAGCAUACUACCAUCACGAAGAGCCCAUCUUUCCUGCCCUUGCGUGUCUAUUUGGGAUGGACGACGUGAAAUUGGAGCAUUCAACGGAAGUGAUUGUCCUAUCCGACGACACGGAGAAGCUUCCAAGUGAGUCAUCUUUGUUUGUUGCAGGAACAUUUGACGAAGAAGUUAACUCCCCGGUGACAUUUCCUCGUGGACCUGUUCGACGCAAGUUGUUUGACGAAGAACAUCCAAUUAUGGACAUGGAGUCCAGCACCAAAUGUUCUUCUGAUGGGCCUUCACAAGUGAGGUCCAAGGAGGGGAGGACUUAUCGAAAACCCCCACCGCAUAUGCUCGCUCCUGCCGGUCAGUUGUAUAUCUCCCCGAAGGGAAGCUGUUGUGGUUCCUACUCACCCAUUGAGGGGUUCACUACUAAAAAUUUGACAUAUUAUUACAUUAAAUUAGUCACACUUUAUUAAAACUGUGAGCAUAGAUACUCAAACAAUACAUUGAUCUUUCAUCACAUUUAUAUCAUACACUAACGUUACACUGGAGUUAGAUGUCAUUUGAACAAUCAUAUACUCACACUUCUGUUACGUAGAAUAAUGGAAACUUGCUCCUAUUAUUGCUCAAGGAAUAUAUAUUUUCAUAAGUGAAUAUUUAAACAUGAUUCUAAAAAGGAAAAUUCAAAUUAAGUAGAAAUUAUUUGUUUUAUUGUAUACUCCAUAAAUUUUUUUAUAUUAAUACUUUAAAAUUAUUAUUAUAUUAUUGAUUUAUAUGAUGUGUUUUAUUUAUUUAAAUUUUAAGCGUUACAUUAAUUAACCAAGUCAUAUAUGGAACUAACCUUAAUCUUAAUGUUACAUUGUAAUUUAAAAUAUAUAUAAAAUGUAUAAAAACUUUAAACUACGCAGCGUCAUUGAAUUCUUACUUUUCGUGAAAAAGUACAUUAUUUUUAUUCCUCCCGCCUACAAUUUUUAGGGAAUUAGCGGUUGAUUACCAAAAAUUUUCUAUUCCUCCCGCCUACAAACCCAAAACCCUACCCCUCUCAAAUUUCAACAUCUUCUCGUUGGGGAAAAAAUAGUGACAGUCUCGGACUCUCGGAUUACUUCGCACAGGAGAAGAGAGUACGCUAGCGUGUUCAGUUAUGGCUUCUAAAGGACGAAGGCAAUGUAAAAAGAAUGUUCGUUUACAAGAUGAAUCAGAUAUAUCACAUCAAAGGUUGACAAAUCCUGAAGAUUUUACUACCAGAACUACAUUAGGCAGAAGAAUUUAUAAUAGAAACAUACAUCAAGAAGAUUCAAACAUAGUCACACAUUCAAACCAUGAGGAUAUGAGCAUUGAUAUUUGCCAAAGUCGUAGGGAAGGACAGACCUGGUCAAGUAAGAAUGAUGGGUCAAGGAGUGUGUCCCUCAGAUGUGUGGAAUGGAACUCCUAUAAACACAUCAGAUCGUUUACUAAGUGAGUAUAGAGAAAAAAUUGCACGACUAGAGGCAAUGCUUGGAGUACAACAAAGACCUUGUGCUUCACAAGCAGACGCAAGGCCAAAUGCGAUAGCAUCUGAAUCUCGUUCACUACGUUCUACAACGGCUGAAACUGAUCAGGUUGGAAAAUAUGUUUCUUUGAGAAGUAUUCUCACGAAGAAAAUCGUUGCUAAAGGAUUUAUUCAGAGCAUUGAUCCAAAUAAAAAAGUUGGGGGACAAAUGUUAGGAUUGAAUUGGUGUGAAAUUAAUGUUAAAGUUGUGAUUGAGCCGAAGGAACAAUUGAUUAGGCCUUACGACAACUUUCAAGAGCUUUCCCAGACAGUUGGUGAUAUGAUUGCUUGGCCAUCUUCCUUGGUGACUCCCAUUGAGUAGUGACAAUUUCUUGAUUCAUAUGGAUUCAAGGGCACGUUGCAGAGGAACUUGUUCUUUCGACGAAUAGGAAGAAGAGGCUCACAACAAAUGUGUUAUGCUCUUUAUAAUAGAUUAUGCUUUAUAGUCUGUGCUAGUAUGCUCACAGAGUUUAAGAAGAAAAUGAAUUGGCAUUUCAUAUUGUUGGAAUACAUGUUUAGAGUUUUGAAAUACUUUGGAUUUUUAUAUAUUUGAAAGUUAAUUUAUUUACAUGAUUUGUUGAUAAAA